rnacentral:rRNA from 1 species
GCGCAGCAGGCGCGAAUACUUUACAAUGUGCGAAAGCACGAUAAGGGAACUCUGAGUGCCUCCUAAGGAGGCUGUUCUGAUGUCUAAAAAGCAACAGAAGUAAGGGCUGGGUAAGACCGGUGCCAGCCGCCGCGGUAACACCGGCAGCCCAAGUGGUAGCCACGUUUAUUGGGUCUAAAGCGUUCGUAGCCGGCCAGGUAAGUUCCUUGGUAAAUUUAGCCGCUUAACGGUUAAGCUUUCGGGGAAUACUGCUUGGCUUGGGACUGGGAGAGGUCAGAGGUACUCCGGGGGUAGGGGUGAAAUCUAUUAAUCCCUGGGGGACCACCGGUAGCGAAGGCGUCUGACCAGACCAGGUCCGACGGUGAGGGACGAAGGCUAGGGGCGCGAACCGGAUUAGAUACCCGGGUAGU